GUAAGCUACUAAGAGCGAAUGGUGGAUGCCUUGACUGGUAAAGGCGAUGAAGGACGUACUAGACUGCGAUAAGCUACGGGGAGCUGUCAAGAAGCUUUGAUCCGUAGAUUUCCGAAUGGGGCAACCCAAUGUAUAGAGAUAUACAUUACCUAUAUAGGAGCGAACGAGGGGAAUUGAAACAUCUUAGUACCCUCAGGAAAAGAAAUCAAUAGAGAUUGCGUCAGUAGCGGCGAGCGAAAGCGUAAGAGGGCAAACCCAGUGCUUGCACUGGGGGUUGUAGGACUGCAAUGUGCAAGAGGUGAGUUUAGCAGAACAUUCUGGAAAGUAUAGCCAUAGAGGGUGAUAGUCCCGUAUGCGAAAAACAAACCUUAGCUAGCAGUAUCCUGAGUAGGGCGGGACACGAGAAAUCCUGUCUGAAGCUGGGUCGACCACGAUCCAACCCUAAAUACUAAUACCAGAUCGAUAGUGCACAAGUACCGUGAGGGAAAGGUGAAAAGAACUGAGGUGAUCAGAGUGAAAUAGAACCUGAAACCAUUUGCUUACAAUCAUUCAGAGCACUAUGUAGCAAUACAGUGUGAUGGACUGCCUUUUGCAUAAUGAGCCUGCGAGUUGUGGUGUCUGGCAAGGUUAAGCAAACGCGAAGCCGUAGCGAAAGCGAGUCUGAAUAGGGCGCUUAGUCAGAUGCUGCAGACCCGAAACGAAGUGAUCUAUCCAUGAGCAAGUUGAAGCUAGUGUAAGAACUAGUGGAGGACUGAACCCAUAGGCGUUGAAAAGCCCCGGGAUGACUUGUGGAUAGGGGUGAAAGGCCAAUCAAACUUCGUGAUAGCUGGUUCUCUCCGAAAUAUAUUUAGGUAUAGCGUUGUGUCGUAAUAUAAGGGGGUAGAGCACUGAAUGGGCUAGGGCAUACACCAAUGUACCAAACCCUAUCAAACUCCGAAUACCUUAUAUGUAAUCACAGCAGUCAGGCGGCGAGUGAUAAAAUCCGUCGUCAAGAGGGAAACAACCCAGACUACCAGCUAAGGUCCCUAAAUCUUACUUAAGUGGAAAACGAUGUGAAGUUACUUAAACAACCAGGAGGUUGGCUUAGAAGCAGCCAUCCUUUAAAGAAAGCGUAAUAGCUCACUGGUCUAGUGAUUUUGCGCGGAAAAUAUAACGGGGCUAAAGUAAGUACCGAAGCUGUAGACUUGCGCACAACUUAGAUUAUUUAAGUUUAGAAUAUGAGAAACUAAGUUAUAUGUUUAGUUAUAUUUUUACUGAUUUUUAUAGAGUAAAGAUAGAAAUAAAACUUAGUAAAAUCAGUAAAAAUAUUCUUAGACUAAAGUUAAGUAGUUUAAGUUGUGUGCAAGUGGUAGGAGAGCGUUCUAUUUGCGUCGAAGGUAUACCGGUAAGGAGUGCUGGAGCGAAUAGAAGUGAGCAUGCAGGCAUGAGUAGCGAUAAUUAAUGUGAGAAUCAUUAACGCCGUAAACCCAAGGUUUCCUACGCGAUGCUCGUCAUCGUAGGGUUAGUCGGGUCCUAAGUCGAGUCCGAAAGGGGUAGACGAUGGCAAAUUGGUUAAUAUUCCAAUACCAACAUUAGUGUGCGAUGGAAGGACGCUUAGGGCUAAGGGGGCUAGCGGAUGGAAGUGCUAGUCUAAGGUCGUAGGAGGUUAUACAGGCAAAUCCGUAUAACAAUACUCCGAGAACUGAAAGGCUUUUUGAAGUCUUCGGAUGGAUAGAAGAACCCCUGAUGCCAUCGAGCCAAGAAAAGUUUCUAAGUUUAGCUAAUGUUGCCCGUACCGUAAACCGACACAGGUGGGUGGGAUGAGUAUUCUAAGGCGCGUGGAAGAACUCUCUUUAAGGAACUCUGCAAAAUAGCACCGUAUCUUCGGUAUAAGGUGUGGUUCGCUUCGUAUUAGGAUUUACUCCGAAAGCGAAGAAACUUACAACAAAGAGUCCCUCCCGACUGUUUACCAAAAACACAGCACUCUGCUAACUCGUAAGAGGAUGUAUAGGGUGUGACGCCUGCCCGGUGCUCGAAGGUUAAUUGAUGGGGUUAGCAUUAGCGAAGCUCUUGAUCGAAGCCCGAGUAAACGGCGGCCGUAACUAUAACGGUCCUAAGGUAGCGAAAUUCCUUGUCGGUUAAAUACCGACCUGCAUGAAUGGCGUAACGAGAUGGGAGCUGUCUCAAAGAGGGAUCCAGUGAAAUUGUAGUGGAGGUGAAAAUUCCUCCUACCCGCGGCAAGACGGAAAGACCCCGUGGACCUUUACUACAGCUUGACACUGCUAUUUGGAUAAGAAUGUGCAGGAUAGGUGGGAGGCUUUGAGUAUAUGACGCCAGUUGUAUAUGAGCCAUUGUUGAGAUACCACUCUUUCUUAUUUGGGUAGCUAACCAGCUUGAGUUAUCCUCAAGUGGGACAAUGUCUGGUGGGUAGUUUGACUGGGGCGGUCGCCUCCCAAAUAAUAACGGAGGCUUACAAAGGUUGGCUCAGAACGGUUGGAAAUCGUUCGUAGAGUAUAAAGGUAUAAGCCAGCUUAACUGCAAGACAUACAAGUCAAGCAGAGACGAAAGUCGGUCUUAGUGAUCCGGUGGUUCUGUGUGGAAGGGCCAUCGCUCAAAGGAUAAAAGGUACCCCGGGGAUAACAGGCUGAUCUCCCCCAAGAGCUCACAUCGACGGGGAGGUUUGGCACCUCGAUGUCGGCUCAUCGCAUCCUGGGGCUGGAGCAGGU
rnacentral:rRNA from 1 species